GACGAACGCUGGCGGCGUGCUUAACACAUGCAAGUCGAGCGAUGAAGUUCCUUCGGGAACGGAUUAGCGGCGGACGGGUGAGUAACACGUGGGUAACCUGCCUCAUAGAGGGGAAUAGCCUUCCGAAAGGAAGAUUAAUACCGCAUAAGAUUGUAGUUUCGCAUGAAACAGCAAUUAAAGGAGUAAUCCGCUAUGAGAUGGACCCGCGUCGCAUUAGCUAGUUGGUGAGGUAACGGCUCACCAAGGCGACGAUGCGUAGCCGACCUGAGAGGGUGAUCGGCCACAUUGGGACUGGGACACGGCCCAGACUCCUACGGGAGGCAGCAGUGGGGAAUAUUGCACAAUGGGGGAAACCCUGAUGCAGCAACGCCGCGUGAGUGAUGACGGUCUUCGGAUUGUAAAACUCUGUCUUCAGGGACGAUAAUGACGGUACCUGAGGAGGAAGCCACGGCUAACUACGUGCCAGCAGCCGCCGUAAAAC
rnacentral:rRNA from 1 species